GAGCUGAUUUGGGCGGGCUUCUUGUCAGUCGGAAAGACGCCGACUACCUGCGGUGGGUUUAAGGCUGCCUCCAUCUCCAUCCUCCUUGGACUGCUCUCUCCUGUGACUAUCCUGGCCUGCUAGAAAGUGAAUUCACAGGCCUGACCAACGACCUCCAGCAGCUGCCAUAGUCCAGCUCCAGCGUUGCAGCCCGUCAACAUGGAGUCUUCUCAAACAUCGGUUCUUAGAAAUGGAGCCCUGACCAGCAGGAAUGAAGCUGAGGUCGAGAUCGCGAUCCAAAACUGGCCCAGGCUGAGCAUGGAUCGAGUUGGAGGGAGGUGGAGGCAGAGA